CAGUAGCCGCGGUAAUACAGAGGAUGCAAGCGUUAUCCGGAAUGAUUGGGCGUAAAGCGUCUGUAGGUGGCUUUUCAAGUCCGCCGUCAAAUCCCAGGGCUCAACCCGGACACUGCCUUUCAUACUGGGGACCUUGAGUGUGGGAGAGGCGAGUGGAAUGGUCGGUGUAGCGGUGAAAUGCGUAGAUAUCGAUCGGAACACCCAUGGCGAAGGCAGCUCGCUGGCCUAACACCGACGCUGAGGCGCGAAAGCGUGGGGAGCAAACAGGAUUAGAUACCCGGGUAGUCCCUGUCUCUUAUAC
rnacentral:rRNA from 1 species